rnacentral:rRNA from 1 species
AAUUCACUAGUGAUUUUGGAGGGCAAGUCUGGUGCCAGCAGCCGCGGUAAUUCCAGCUCCAAUAGCGUAUAUUAAAGUUGUUGCAGUUAAAAAGCUCGUAGUUGAAUUUCGGGAUUAAUUUAUUGGUCGUGCUAUUGUACGUACUGGUAUUAUUGAUUCCUACCUUCUGACGAACCAUGAUGUCAUUAAUUUGGUGUCAUGGGGAAUCAGGACUGUUACUUUGAAAAAAUUAGAGUGUUUAAAGCAGGCUCACGCUUGAAUACAUUAGCAUGGAAUAACGAAAUAGGACGUUUGAUUCUAUUUUGUUGGUUUCUAGGAUCGACGUUAUGAUUAAUAGGGAUAGUUGGGGGCAUUAGUAUUCAAUUGUCAGAGGUGAAAUUCUUGGAUUUAUUGAAGACUAACUACUGCGAAAGCAUUUGCCAAGGAUGUUUUCAUUAAUCAAGAACGAAAGUUAGGGGAUCGAAGACGAUCAGAUACCGUCGUAGUCUUAACCAUAAACUAUGCCGACUAGGGAUCGGAUGAUGUUAAUUUUUUAAUGACUCAUUCGGCGCCUUACGGGAAACAAUC